rnacentral:rRNA from 1 species
AUUUCUUCGGAAUGAAACCAGAUAUGACUUAGUGGCGGACGGGUGAGUAACGCGUGGGUAACCUGCCUUAUACAGGGGGAUAACAGUUGGAAACGACUGCUAAUACCGCAUAAGCGCACGGUAUCGCAUGAUACAGUGUGAAAAACUCCGGUGGUAUAAGAUGGACCCGCGUCUGAUUAGCUAGUUGGCAGGGCAACGGCCUACCAAGGCGACGAUCAGUAGCCGACCUGAGAGGGUGACCGGCCACAUUGGGACUGAGACACGGCCCAAACUCC